GGGCAGAUCGUUUGAAGCCGGGCGUGGUGGUGCACGCCUGCAGUCCCAGCUACUUGGGAGGCUCAGGCAGGAGAAUCGCUUGAACAAGAAAGUGGGAGAGUUUGGACAUGUCAUAGGUUGUGGGUAAGAGAAAACCUAAGAUAAUCUAUUCUUCCUUCCCCGUUGUUUAUACCUUAUGUUUGCAGUGCCUUUAUUAUUUCUUCUGUUUUCCCUGUCACAAUUCUGAUGUUACAAAAUCUAGCCCAAAUCUCUCUCAAAGCCAUCCCAGACUCUUUCAUGCCACUCUGAUUUCUCCCUCUUACUCUAUUUUUAUCUGUAACUGUAUGUAACACAUAGCUUAUUGUCUGAGUAUAGACAUUCAGCAAACUUUGGUUGAUUGGAAAGUCUUCGUUUAAACUUCUAAUUUCUCUAAGGAACGAGUUGAAGCAGUUAAUAUGGCUGAAGGAAUCAUUCACGACACAGAAACCAAGAUGGAAGAAUUCAAGGACCAAUUACCUGCUGAUGAGAUGGCAUCUGAGCGAGAAGGCUCUGGAAGUUCUGGCACUGGGGAACAAAAGGAAGAUCAAAAGGAGGAAAAACAGUAAUAAUAGCAGAAAUUUUGAAGCCAGAAGGACAACAUAUGAAGCUUAGGAGUGAAGAGACUUCCUGAGCAGAAAUGGGCGAACUUCAGUCUUUUUACUGUGUUUUUGCAGUAUUCUAUAUAUAAUUUCCUUAAUUUGUAAAUUUAGUGACCAUUAGCUAGUGAUCAUUUAAUGGACAGUGAUUCUAACAGUAUAAAGUUCACAAUAUUCUAUGUCCCUAGCCUGUCAUUUUUCAGCUGCAUGUAAAAGGAGGUAGGAUGAAUUGAUCAUUAUAAAGAUUUAACUAUUUUAUGCUGAAGUGACCAUAUUUUCAAGGGGUGAAACCAUCUCGCACACAGCAAUGAAGGUAGUCAUCCAUAGACUUGAAAUGAGACCACAUAUGGGGAUGAGAUCCUUCUAGUUAGCCUAGUACUGCUGUACUGGCCUGUAUGUACAUGGGGUCCUUCAACUGAGGCCUUGCAAGUCAAGCUGGCUGUGCCAUGUUUGUAGAUGGGGCAGAGGAAUCUAGAACAAUGGGAAACUUAGCUAUUUAUAUUAGGUACAGCUAUUAAAACAAGGUAGGAAUGAGGCUAGACCUUUAACUUCCCUAAGGCAUACUUUUCUAGCUACCUUCUGCCCUGUGUCUGGCACCUACAUCCUUGAUGAUUGUUCUCUUACCCAUUCUGGAAUUUUUUUUUUUUUAAAUAAAUACAGAAAGCAUCUUG
rnacentral:lncRNA from 1 species